UUUCCGUAGGUGAACCUGCGGAAGGAUCAUUCAUAAUAAAGUGUUUUAUGGCACUUUUUAAAAAUCCAUAUCCACCUUGUGUGCAAUGUUAGAUCUCGUCAAUCUUGGCGAGAUUUUUAUACAUCAACUCAUUCUUUAACUAAUUUGUCUGAAAAAUAUUAUGAAUACUUAAUUCAAAAUACAACUUUCAACAACGGAUCUCUUGGCUCUCGCAUCGAUGAAGAAGC
rnacentral:misc_RNA from 1 species